rnacentral:rRNA from 1 species
AUUGAACGCUGGCGGCAGGCCUAACACAUGCAAGUCGAGCGGAUGAAGGGAGCUUGCUCCUGGAUUCAGCGGCGGACGGGUGAGUAAUGCCUAGGAAUCUGCCUGGUAGUGGGGGAUAACGUCCGGACACGGGCGCUAAUACCGCAUACGUCCUGAGGGUGAAAGUGGGGGAUCUUCGGACCUCACGCUAUCAGAUGAGCCUAGGUCGGAUUAGCUAGUUGGUGGGGUAAAGGCCUACCAAGGCGACGAUCCGUAACUGGUCUGAGAGGAUGAUCAGUCACACUGGAACUGAGACACGGUCCAGACUCCUACGGGAGGCAGCAGUGGGAAAUAUUGGACAAUGGGCGAAAGCCUGAGCCAGCCAUGCCGCGUGUGUGAAGAAGGUCUUCGGAUUGUAAAGCACUUUAAGUUGGGAGGAAGGGCAGUAGUUAAUACCUUGCUGUUUUGACGUUACCAACAGAAUAAGCACCGGCUAACUUCGUG